rnacentral:rRNA from 1 species
AGUGAACGCUGGCGGUAGGCCUAACACAUGCAAGUCGAACGGCAGCACAGUAAGAGCUUGCUCUUACGGGUGGCGAGUGGCGGACGGGUGAGGAAUACAUCAGAAUCUACUUUUUCGUGGGGGAUACGUAGGGAAACUUACGCUAAUACCGCAUACGACCUACGGGUGAAAGCAGGGGAUCUUCGGACCUUGCGCGAUUGAAUGGGCCGAUGUCGGAUUAGCUAGUUGGCGGGGUAAAGGCCCACCAAGGCGACGAUCCGUAGCUGGUCUGAGAGGAUGAUCAGCAACACGGGAACUGAGACACGGUCCAGACUCCUACGGGAGGCAGCAGUGGGGAAUAUUGGACAAUGGGCGCAAGCCUGAUCCAGCCAUACCGCGUGGGUGAAGAAGGCCUUCGGGUUGUAAAGCCCUUUUGUUGGGAAAGAAAAGCAGCAGGUUAAUACCCCGCUGUUCUGACGGUACCCAAAGAAUAAGCACCGGCUAACUUCGUG